ACGCUCGACACCUACGGGAGACAGCAGUAGGGAAUCUUCCACAAUGGACGCAAGUCUGAUGGAGCAACGCCGCGUGAGUGAAGAAGGUUUUCGGAUCGUAAAGCUCUGUUGUUGGUGAAGAAGGAUAGAGGUAGUAACUGGCCUUUAUUUGACGGUAAUCAACCAGAAAGUCACGGCUAACUACGUCGCCAGCAGCCGCGGUAAUCUGAGCGGCUGGCAAGGC
rnacentral:rRNA from 1 species